rnacentral:rRNA from 1 species
AGCGAACGCUGGCGGCAGGCCUAACACAUGCAAGUCGAACGAACCUUUCGGGGUUAGUGGCGGACGGGUGGGUAACACGUGGGAACGUGCCUUUAGGUUCGGAAUAACUCAGGGAAACUUGUGCUAAUACCGAAUGUGCCCUUCGGGGGAAAGAUUUAUCGCCUUUAGAGCGGCCCGCGUCUGAUUAGCUAGUUGGUUGAGGUAAUGGCUCACCAAGGCGACGAUCAGUAGCUGGUCUGAGAGGAUGAUCAGCCACAUUGGGACUGAGACACGGCCCAAACUCCUACGGGAGGCAGCAGUGGGGAAUCUUGCGCAAUGGGCGAAAGCCUGACGCAGCCAUGCCGCGUGAAUGAUGAAGGUCUGAGGAUUGUAAAAUUCUUUCACCGGGGACGAUAAUGACGGUACCCGGAGAAGAAGCCCCGGCUAACUUCGUG